AGUGAACGCUGGCGGUAGGCCUAACACAUGCAAGUCGAACGGCAGCACAGGAGAGCUUGCUCUCUGGGUGGCGAGUGGCGGACGGGUGAGGAAUACAUCGGAAUCUACUUUUUCGUGGGGGAUAACGUAGGGAAACUUACGCUAAUACCGCAUACGACCUACGGGUGAAAGCAGGGGAUCUUCGGACCUUGCGCGAUUGAAUGAGCCGAUGUCGGAUUAGCUAGUUGGCGGGGUAAAGGCCCACCAAGGCGACGAUCCGUAGCUGGUCUGAGGGGAUGAUCAGCCCAACUGGAACUGGGACACGGUCCAGACUCCUACGGGAGGCAGCAGUGGGGAAUAUUGGACAAUGGGCGCAAGCCUGAUCCAGCCAUACCGCGUGGGUGAAGAAGGCCUUCGGGUUGUAAAGCCCUUUUGUUGGGAAAGAAAUCCAGCUGGUUAAUACCCGGUUGGGAUGACGGUACCCAAAGAAUAAGCACCGGCUAACUUCGUGCCAGCCGCCGCCGUAA
rnacentral:rRNA from 1 species